UUUUGAGACUUGUGCAAUAGCCUCUUUGGAUAAUGCUUCAGGGUGGGAACACAGCAGAGCCUCUAAAGAUACUAUGUGCCGCAAGUAUCUUAAGGAGG
rfam:Helicobacter apodemus strain MIT-03-7007 CONTIG_82, whole genome shotgun sequence.